CAGGACUAUAACAUGGAUGAACAGUCUUAGACAAGAGAAAGGACUCAACAUUCCUUAAGGCGAUUAUUAAUCAAAAUUGUAACAUUAAUGUUAUUUAUUUUUCACGAAAGAUUUUUUAAAUCAAUAUUGUUGCCUUAACAAAACAAAAAGGCGUCGCAACAACUUGUAUUAAUAUGUUUGUUUUUUCUUUGAGAAUUAAUCUUCACGUCAGCCACUAUUUGAGAGCAACCGUUGCACACAUGACAUGUUAGAUCGGGUUCACUAACAAGUGAACCGGUUUUGGCCUACACUCACGCCUCAAUCCUCCCCCUCUUCUCUUUAACAUGUCAUCUCCCCCUCUGCUCUUCGGCGAUGCUGACUUUCAUCUCCCUCUCGAAAUUUGCAGCUCUCCCUCCAUUUUUUGGGUUUCAUCUCCCCAAUCUCGUGUUUCAGCUGAUCUGAAUCCUUGUGAUUUCCCUGUCACGAAACAAGCAACGAGACCACCCUCUCUCUUCUGCACCGUGCUUCAUCUCCCUCCUCUUUUCUGUGAUUUGAAUUUCCCCCCAAAUCCUUCAUCUCCUCUCAGCUUCCAUGAUGUGUGUCCAAAGAUCUGCAAAAGAGAACCCGCAGUAAGAGAGAUGCAAGAUGUGAAUUAUUUGUAUGGGUAGAUAUGCUCCAUUUGCUAGAGAAGAACAUUCAUGUAAGAAAGAAUAAGGCUUGGAAAACGUGGGAUGACAUAUUACAAGGCAAGUAGGAAGUUUGAAAAAAAAAAAGGAAGAUAAAGUGGGAGAGAUAGGGACAAAUCUUCAAAAGGAAAAGCAAAAAUUAUUGUAUUUGUACUGGAUUGUCCAAUUUGUAAUAGUAUUUGCUUAGUUUGGAUAAAUUGUAUGUAAUAGUACGUUGUAUGGAGUAGAUGGUUUUUGAAUGGAAAUAACUUUGUGCACAUGAUUUGAUGAAA